rnacentral:lncRNA from 1 species
GAUGCAAAAUAAUAGCAUGAAUGACAUUGUGGAUGGCUUGGCACCGUGACUGCUCGGGGGUCUGCCACAGUUGCUGACAACAUAAUUGUUGCAACAGUUGGUAACUUUGUUGCAAUACUUGUGAGCUUGCAUGUGCUAUGUUGGGUUGUUGCAAGACGACAUCCCUGCAUGGAAUCAGUUGUUGUUGCAGAAUUUGUUGAAGGAUUUGUUGUUGUUGUUGUUGUUGUUGUUGUUGUUGUGCUUGUUGCUGCGAAAUUGGUUGUUGUGGUUGCGGAUAUUGUGGUUGUGGUUGUGGAUAUGAUUGUUGUGGUGGAAAUGGUUGCGGCUGCGGAUAUGGUAGUUGUGGCAGAAAUGGUUGCGGCUGCGGAUAUGGCUGUUAUGGUGGAAAUGGUUGUUGUUGCCCUGGAAAUUGUUGUUGUUACUGCCCUAGAAAUUGUUGUUGUUGCACCAAUGGAACUUGCUCUUGUGGUUGUUGCUGAGAUGGAUUUUGUGGCUGCAAUUGUGGCACUGGAACUCUAACUGCAGUUGUGGUGGUGGUCUCCACGAUAGCAAGGAGGGCAAGGAUGAGAAAGGUCUUCAUGGUGGAUUUGUAUUGACCACUGCUUGCUUGGCUUGAAUGAUGCACUCUACUUAUGAGAAUGAUGGAUGAGGAAGGAUGAUCAUCAUGCUACAUGCCUAUUUAUAGCUGUCAUGGCAUCAUCUCCUUCACAAUUGGCAUUUGCUUGUCUGGAAAGUGCUUGGAUGCUUCCUAAAAUCAUAAUUUGGUAUGUUGUGCUUGGUGGCACUAUCAUUCCACCACCAAAAAGUUGUGAUAACACACAUGACUCAUCUUAUUCACUUUACAACUCAAACACUAAUCUAGAUUGCCUAAUUUUUUUUGAAACUAAGUUUGUAAUGUUUUGCAAGUUGUUAUGUGUAAACUAGAUAAGCAUUGCUUGCACAGAACUUAGUUUGUAAUCUUGUGUGACCUGUUAAGAUAGAUGAGACUAGUAAUGUAACUUGAUUUAGUAGGUCAUGACUCAUCAAAUUCUUUUUACAUGUCAAGUGUUUUAGCUUUCUAGAAGUUAUUAGCAAACAUCAAUUGUGUAAUGUUCUACAAGUUGUUACGUGUAAACUAGAUAAGCUUGACUUGCACACAAAAAGGAUUGUAAUCAUGUGUGACCUGUUAAGAUAGAUUAGAGUAGUAAUAAAGCUUGCUUUGAUAGACCAUGACUCAUCAAAUUGCUUUUACUUAUCUUAACUGUUGUAUAUGUUGUACAAGUUAUUAACACUUAUCACCUUAGUAUGGCUUGCAAUGUGUGUGCAUGCCAAGGUAUGUGUAGCUUCUAUCCGUUUGUAGAUCUUAUUUUGUUUUACGCGAAAUCAUGCAAAUGAUCACCUAUGGUAACGCUUGCGAGUGCAGCUACAACAAUGUUGGCAGGGUCGGCGGGAGGCAGCUGGAUGGCAUGAGUUCUUGUAACAACCUAUAAUUCAUUAUGGUUUUUUUUNNNNNNNNNNNNNNNNNNNNNNNNNNNNNNNNNNNNNNNNNNNNNNNNNNNNNNNNNNNNNNNNNNNNNNNNNNNNNNNNNNNNNNNNNNNNNNNNNNNNGAGUUUGAGAGCGAGCGCUCCUCCUGGACUGACAGGGAGGCGAUGCUGACCUCCGACUUCCACGAGAUCGAGGAUAUUGUUGAUGGUAAGUUUCUUUCGUUUCUUCGGGCCUCCGACUAUGUGUCAGGCCGACUUGUGAUUUUUCGACUUGCUUCUUUUUUGUCUUGGCAGACUUCUUCCCUGGUCACUCGCAGGCAGUCCCUCUGGCCAUCGAGGCUGCUCAUGAGGCGCGAAGGGCAAGCGGUGAGGAGAUCGCCGCUAAUGCCCCCCGAACCGUCGAUGAGCAGCUUCUGAGCAUUGAAGCCCGUCUUCGUCUGGCCCACCAGCGGAUGCGCCGGCUUUAGCGUGUCGGCGCCCAGGCGGUUGCCGCUUUGUGGCCGGACAAGCUGGCUCUGCGCACCGCCAGUCGGACCGCCGACUGGCUGGAAGUCGCCGCCGGCCGUCUUGAAGCUUGGAAGGGUUCCUCGGCCCGUGCCGGAGCGCGCCGGGCCUUGGAGUUCGUCAAGGCGUGGUAUCCGGGGCUGGACCUGGACCGUAUGGCCGCGUUUCGGUCAGAAGCCAGGCCGAGCUGGAGGCCGUGGAGGCCGCCCUUAUCGAGCGUGCGGCGGCCAUCGCCGAGUACACGGACACUAGUGUCUUCAUGCCCGAGCGGGCUGAAGGCGGCGAGGAAGUGCCGCUAGAGUGGUUCGGGAUGAACCCGGAGUAUGGAGAGGACUCGGCGGAGGUGAUCGACUCCAGCACCGAGGAGGAGGACGAGGCGGAGGAUGAAGGCGAGGCGGAGGUGCCAGAAGACGGAGCAGGCGGCUAGCCUCAGCUCGACUGCGCCUCUAGUAAUGAGCCGCGUCGAGAGAAGGCGACUGCCGCCGGAGGCGAUCAAACCGAGACCGCCCAGCCGACUGCCCCGGCGCCUGACACCGCCGUCUCCUCCGAUCCUCCAAUCCCAGAUGCUGCCUCCUAGGCUGCCUUUUCCGCCUCUGCUUGUCUGUCUUAGUAAUCUUUUGAAAACUUUAUUAGAUUCGAACAAUUCCACCCACGGGGUGUAUCUUGAACUUCCAUUCGAAGGUUCGACCAAGGGCCUAUGUAAAUAUUUAUCCGAUUUCCGUCUUUCCUUGCUUACUGCUCUUUAGGCUUUUCCCUUUGCCGCCUUCCUUUAGUUGCUGCCUUGCCAGUUGGACAGCCGCUCUGCGGACUGUCACUGGGUCAAGUGCUUGGCUACUUCGGGAAGGCAUGUACUUGGCCAUUUAGAGUUUCUUUAGCAAGUCGGAUAGAAAGCGACAGGCCGACUACCCAAGAGUCGGCCGUCCUUGAUAGAGGUUAAUAAAGACGGCGAGCCGACUACUCAUGAGUCGGCUUUCUGCUUUAGAAAUGCUGGAGGUCGUCUUACGCUAUGUUCGUGCUUUAGGUCCUUAGCCAUUUUUCGUGUGGGCGCCCGUUCUUCCUCACUCCUGCCUGCCUCACAGUCGCUCUGCGAGCUGCAGCUUUGCCAGGAGGCGGAUUGGGCACCGCGCACUACUUGUCUGACUGCGGGAAGCUCCUGAUAGCGCAAGGCGGCGAGUCCCCGGGCCGACUAGUCUGGCCCGGUGCCAAGCGGCUUGUAAUGAAAGUAAUGUACUCGAAGGCAUAAUUCUUAUCGUACAGAUAGCAAAAAGGGCAGUCCCCGAGCUCGUCUCGGGGGGCCCAAAGUCUUAGUACUUUAAUACAAAGGGGUAGUGUGAUACAUACUGCAUCAACUGUAAAAUCUUCGAAGAAGAUUUGCAUUCCACGGGCGCUUUGUCUCUUUGCCGGAGUCGUCCCUCUUGCGCACUCGGGGCUUCUGAGCGUCGAUCAGAUAGUAGGCGUCGUUCCCUAGCACCUUGCUGAUGAUAAAGGGGCCUUCCCAAGGUGCCGACAGCUUGUGCUGGCCGGCUGUUCGCUGGAUCAGCCGGAGCACAAGGUUGCCUUCUUGGAAAGAUCUUGGCGUGACCUUCCUGUUGUAGUAUCAACGCAGACUCUGCUGGUAGAUGCUGGACCGGCUGAGUGCCAACAGCCGGCCCUCUUCCAGCAGAUCGACGCCGUCUUGACGUGCUUCUUCUGCUUCUUCCUUGGUGUACAUGGUGACUCGCGGGGAGUCGAACUCUAUGUCCGUUGGGAUGACGGCUUCGGCACCGUAGACGAGGAAGAAGGGUGUGAAGCCGGUUGACUUGUUUGGAGUCGUGCGCAGACUCCAGAGGACGCCUGGCAGCUCCUCAAGCCAACAGCCGGCAGAUCGCUCCAGCGGUACGAUGAGUCGAGGCUUGAUGCCGGAUAAGAUGAGGCCGUUCGCUCGCUUCACCUGGCCGUUUGACUAUGGAUGGGCAACGGAUGCUAAGUCCAGUCGGAUGCCCUGUGUCGCGCAGAAACGGGCCAAGGCGCCUUUGGCAAAAUUCGUGCCAUUGUCGGUGAUGAUGCUGUGUGGGAUGUUGUACCGAGUUGUGAUGUCAGCGAUGAAGGUCACUGCAGUCGGACCAUUCAACUUCUUGAUGGGUUUCACCUCCACCCACUUGGUGAAUUUGUCCACUGCGACAAGUAGGUGAGUCAAGCCACCUCGUGCCGUCUUGAAUGGUCCCACCAUGUCCAGGCCCCAGACUGCAAAGGGCCAGGCGAUGGGGAUAGUCUUGAGUGCGGAAGCUAGCUGAAGUGGCUUGUAAUGGAAAAUCGGGCACCCCUUGCACUUUUGGACUAACUCUUUGGCCUCUUCCAGGGCGGUUGGCCAGAAGAAAACGUGCCGGAAGGAUUUGGCGACGAGUGCCCUAGAGGCCGCGUGGUGACCGCACUCGCCUUCAUGGAUGUCUCUGAGGAUUGCUUGGCCUUGUUCUGCCUUGACGCAGCGUUGGAAGACGCCGGUAACGCUGCGCCUGACCAGCUCUCUGUUGACUAUGGUGUAGGCUGCUGCUCGGCCUUGCACUUGUCGAGCCGAGAUUUCAUCAGUUGGCAGCUCUCUGUUUACUAAGAACCUGAGGAUGGGCUGGGCCCAUGAAGGUGCUGCUAUUUCUUCAACUGCCACUAGUGUGACUUGGACAAGGGCGGCCGGGCUGGGAGGUGGCGGGUUGGAGUUCGCAGCCGCUUGCUGAUUUGACAAAGUCCCAGGGCCGACUGGAGCAGUCCCCGGGCCGAGCUCUGGAGUCUUUGAUCUUGCCACUGCAAUCCCCGGGCCGGGUUCUGAAGUCUUUGAUCUUGCCACUGCAGGCCCCGGGCCGGGUUCUGAAGUCCCCGGGCCGGCUUCGACUGUGUGUUUCCUAGAGUCGGAUCCGUCUUCCUCAGGUGGAGUCGGCACAAAGAUUGAAUCUGAUUCUGGUGACGGCUUGAUAGAAGGCUUGAGGAGGCGCCGGAGGGCCACACCAGAUGGUAUUGCCUGGCGGGUGGAGCCGAUUCAUGCCAAGGCGUCUGCUUGGUCGUUGUCGUUCCUUGUCACGUGGAGGAACUCGCACCCCUUGAAGUAUCCGCUGAGUUGCUGGACGAGGAAACGAUAGCUCGCCAUAUUUGCGUCCUUGGCGUCCCAAUCGCUAGAUGAUUGCUGGACCACCAAGUCAGAGUCGCCAUAACAGAGGAUCCGGCGAAUGCUGAGUUCUUUGGCAAGCCGGAGCCCGUGGAUGAGCGCCUCGUACUCGGCCACGUUGUUGGAGGCGACGAAGUGGAUCUGCAGCGCAUAUCUGAGCUUGUCACCCUUGGGGGAAGUGAGGACGACGCCGGCUCCCAAGCCGGUGCGCAUCUUGGAGCCGUCGAAGUGCAUCCGCCAAUGGGUGGAGUCGGGCGCUGGCGGCAGAUACUGGGUCUCGGCCCAGUCGACGAGGAAGUCGACCAGUGCUUGCGACUUGAUGGCGGUGCGGGGCUCGUAGUAGACGGUGUAGGGGGCCAGGUCGAUGGCCCAUUUGGCCACUCGGCCAGAAGCAUCUCGGCUUCCGAUGAUCUCGGCCAGUGGAGUUUUGCAGACCACAGUGAUUGGAUGCUCCUGGAAGUAAGGCUUCAAUUUCUUGGCGGCAAAAUGUACGCGGUAGCACAUCUUCUGGUAAUGGGGGUAGUUCUGCUUGGAGGCCGACAGUACCUCGCUCAGGUAAUAUACCGGUCUCUGGACAGGCAGCGCCUUGCCUUCCUCCUUGCGCUCGACUAGAAUGACUGUGCUGACUACUCGGCUGGUGGCGGCAAUGUAUAGGAGCAUGGGCUCUUUGGGAGUCGGAGCCGCCAGCACAGGGGGAGUAGUCAACAUCUUCUUUAGUUGGAGAAAAGCCUCAUCCGCCUUGGGAGUCCACUCAAAGAAGGUCAUCUUCUUCAUGAGCUGAUACAAGGGGAGAGCAUUCUCGCCCAGCCGACUGAUGAAUCGGCUGAUGGAUGCCAAACAGCCGGUGAACUUCUGCACAUCCAACAGUCGUCUGGGUGCUUCCAUCCUCUCGAUGGCCUUGAUCUUCACAUGAUUGCACUCUAUGCCGCGUUUGCAGACCAGGAAGCCGAGGAGCUGGCCGGCUGGUACUCCAAAAACGCACUUCUCUAGGUUGAGCUUGAUCUGGAAUCGGCACAUAUUCUCAAAUGUUUCCUUGAGGUCCUCCANNNNNNNNNNNNNNNNNNNNNNNNNNNNNNNNNNNNNNNNNNNNNNNNNNNNNNNNNNNNNNNNNNNNNNNNNNNNNNNNNNNNNNNNNNNNNNNNNNNNUCCUUCUCGUCAACCUCGAAAGUCAUAGCCUUAUGUUUUCGGUCAUAUUGACUCUUUUGACGAGAUUGGGCUGUUUUCAACUUUUCACGAACGAUGCGAACUUGCUCUUCUGCUUCCUGAAUCAUAUCCGGGCCAAAGAAUUGUCUUUCCCCAGUUUCUGACCAGUUAAGGGGUGUUCGACACCGUCGUCCAUAGAGAACUUCAAAAGGGGCUUUACCCAAGCUAGAUUGAUAGCUGUUGUUAUAAGCAAAUUCGGCAAAUGGAAGGCAUUUCUCCCACUCCAUUCUGAAUGAGAUAACAGAGGCUCGAAGCAUGUCUUCUAGGAUCUGGUUGACGCGUUCUACUUGACCACUUGAUGGAGGGUGAAAAGCGGUGCUAAAGGAAAGGCGGGUUCCCAUAGCAUUGUGGAAACUUUCCCAAAAUCGAGAGGUGAAAAGACUUCCUCGAUCCGAGUUAAUUUCCAAAGGAACACCAUGGAGAGACACUAUUCGGGAGAUGUAUAAGUCUGCCAAUUGACUAGCGGUUAUACUCUCACGAACAGGUAAGAAAUGGGCUACCUUGGAAAGACGAUCGACAACAACGAAGAUAGCAUUAUUCCCUCUCUUGGUCCUGGGAAAACCGGUAAUGAAGUCCAUACCAAUUUUAUCCCAUUUCCAUUCAGGAAUAGCUAGGGGUUGAAGGGUGCCAGCAGGCCGUUGAUGCUCUGCUUUUACACGACGACAGACGUCGCAAUUAGCAAUAUACUGAGCAAUUUCUCUCUUCAUCCUAGUCCACCAGAACCUCUGGCGUAGGUCCUGAUACAUCUUGGUACCACCGGGAUGAAUGGUGAGAGGAGAUUCAUGAGCUUCCUUAAGGAUCAAUCGUCUCAGGUUUCGCACCUUGGGAACCACUAGUCGAUUCCCGAAGUAUACGACCCCUUGAUCAUCAAUGGAGAAACAAUUCGCAACUCCUUUCUUGAUGUUUUUCUUGAUGCGGGAAAUUCCCGGAUCUACCUUCUGUGCUUUGAUGAUCUGAUCCGUAAGGGUAGGUUUCGCCACCAAGGUGGAAAGAAAACCUUGAGGAACAAUGUGAAGGUUAAGCUUCCGAAAUUCCUCAUGGAGAAGCGGUUGACUUUGUUGUAACAUCAGGUUGUUACAAUAAGAUUUACGACUUAGCGCAUCAGCCAUGACGUUGGCUUUCCCUGGGGUGUAAGUUAUUCCUAAGUCGAAAUCUGUGAUCAACUCGACCCAACGUCUUUGCCUGAGAUUCAAAUCCGGUUGGGUGAAGAUGUACUUCAGACUUUGGUGAUCAGUGAAUAUUUCGCAACGAUUACCGAGAAGGUAAUGUCGCCAGGUUUUAAGUGCAUAGACUACAGCUGCAAGCUCUAGAUCAUGAGUAGGAUAAUUCUCCUCAUGUGGGUGCAAUUGCCGUGAGGCGUAAGCAAUUACGUGUCGAUCUUGCAUGAGAAUACAGCCUAGUCCUUGUCGCGAGGCAUCGCAGUAGAUAACAAAGUCCUUAGAGAAGUCUGGCGGUACCAGUACGGGAGCAGAAGUCAGGCGUCUUUUCAGUUCCUGAAAGCUGUGCUCACAUUGUGGAGUCCAUUCGAACUUUUUAUCUUUCUUGAGGAGUUCGGUUAGAGGUUUUGCAACUUUGGAGAAGUUCUCGACAAAGCGACGGCAAUAGCUCGCUAAGCCCAGAAAACUCCGAACUUGCUUGACCGAUUCAGGUGGAGUCCAAUUAAGGACGGCUUGAACUCGCUCGGGGUUAACAGCAAUACCUUUACCAGAUAUUACAUGACCUAGAUAGGUCACUUCUGACAACCAAGAUUCACAUUUAGAAAACUUGGCAUAAAGGCGAUGCUCUCGAAGUUUCUUCAACACUAGCCUUAGAUGUUCGGCAUGUUCUUCCUCGUUCUUGGAGUAGAUGAGUAUAUCAUCGAGGUAAACCACGACGAAUUUAUCCAAAUACUCCAUGAAGAUUGAGUUCAUUAACCGAGAAAAAGUGGCUGGAGCGUUGGUUAAACCGAAGGACAUGACGGUGUACUCGUAUUGGCCAUAACGAGUAACAAAGGCCGUUUUAGGAAUGUCCCCAUUCCUGAUUUUGAUUUGAUGGUAGCCCAACCUCAAAUCCAUUUUGGAGAAGAUUGAGGAUCCAGCGAGCUGAUCAUACAAGUCGUUGAUCCUGGGGAGCGGAUAUUUGUUCUUGAUUGUGACCAAAUUGACAGGUCGAUAAUCUACAACCAUCCGGUCCAUACCAUCCUUCUUCUUGACAAAGAGGACGGGGCAAGCCAACAGAGAUGAACUAGGUCGGAUGAAACCCUUUUUCAAGGACUCAUCGAGUUGUUUCUUAAGCUCGGCUAGUUCUAGUGGUGCCAUCUUAUAGGGUCUUCUAGCAAUCGGAACGGUUCCUGGAAUGAGGUCUAUUACGAACUCAACAUCCCUGUCAGGUGGAACACCUGGCAAUUCCUUUGGGAAGACAUCCGGGAAGUCACGGACUACCGGGACGUCCUCAAGGUCUGGCAAAGGGCUGGCGUUCAGAGAAUAUAACUGUCGCUUGGCUAUUCGGGUCAAGACAUUGACUAUCUUCCCCGAAGGAUGGGUGAGUUGAACAGUCCUAGAGAAGCAAUCAAUUUGGGCAUGAUGGGCUGACAUCCAGUCCAUACCCAAGAUGAUAUUAAUAUCUGAAGAUUUAAGGGCUAUCAAAGAUGCGAGAAAAACAAGUCUGUCGACUUGAAUUUCAUUUCCAUGGCUUACUCUAGAAGUUUGCCAUUUGGAUCCCGGAGUUUGAAUUACCAUAGAGGUGGGCAUCUCACAGAAUGUGGUGUUAUGCAGACGAGCAUAGCUCUCGGAUAUAAAUGAAUGAGAUGCUCCUGUAUCAAAAAGAACAGAUGCCGGGUGGCAAUUAACAAGGAGCGUACCGAGAACGACGUUGGGAUCCUCUUGAGCUUCUUCGGCAGAGAUAUAGUUGACAUGGCCACGUGUAGCGGUGGCCGGCUUGGCGUGGAACACUUUACCUAUCGGCUUGCCACGGCCAAUAACUUUAGCAGAUUGGUUGGGGUUGGUCUGGGGACACUCGCGUAUAUAGUGGUCCGAUUCCCCACACUUAAAACAAGUCACAGAACUGGUACGUGGAGGAGCACUGUUGGUUGGACCACCAUAGGGCUUGGCUGGUGCAGACUGUUGAACGGGGCGAGGCACCUGGAAGGAUGGCCUCGGUGUGAACCUGGGUGGCAGGGCAGUGUUGGGCACCCACACGCGGCGCUUCUGAGGACCAGCACCAGAUGAGGAACCCACGUCACGGCCAUGCUUGCGUGUUGCGUCAUAAUCGGUCUGACCAGUCUCAGCACUGAUGGCCUUGUUAACAAGCUUCUGAAAAGAUGUGCACUCAUGCAGACGGAGGUCGCGGUGAAGCUCAGGACUAAGUCCCUUACGGAACCUUGCUUGCUUCUUGGCAUCAGUAGAAACUUCCUCAGUGGCAUAUCGUGCGAGGUUACCGAACUCCCUGCUGUAAGCAUCCACAGAGAGUCGGCCUUGGGUGAAACUGCAAAAUUCCUCACGUUUACGGUCCAUGAGACCCUCCGGAAUGUGAUGUUCACGGAAAGCCUCACUGAAUUCAGCCCAAGUAGUGACAUGGCCCGCUGGGCGCAUAGCUCCAUAAUUCUCCCACCAUAGACUGGCGGGGCCUUCAAGAUGAUAUGCAGCAAAGGUGACCUUGUCAGCCUCAGCUACUAGCGCGGAACGCAGUUUGUGAGAGAUACUGCGAAGCCAGUCAUUAGCGUCGAGAGGCUCGACGGAGUGGUGGAACGUGGGUGGAUGUAACUUGAUGAAAUCACUGAGUGACACCACGUUAGUCCUCUGAUGGUGUGCUCUGUUCUGUUCAAUACGCUCCAACAAACGGUUGGUCUCUCGCUUGUUUCUCUCGGCUUCCAGCAUAACUUCGGCUAGGGAAGGAGGAUGAGGCAGAUUUGCAUUCCUGACUUCACUGCCUUUGGCCGGCUCUUGAGGAGCGGGGUUAUUGCGCGUGUUGACCAUCCUAGGUAAACAAGACAAUGAUUUAGUCAGAAUGAUAAGAUUCCGACAUAGGAUACAAAAUGUAAGGAAUAACUCGGAAUGCAAGAUGAUCAUCCGUAUGACAUGGUAGAUACAGAAACUGCUUCUUUAUUCCAUCGUCAUACACACCAUGCAAGGUUUAGUACAAGACCAAACAAGGUACUAUUACGGUGAAAAGAGGAUUACAUCUCAUCGAGGCAUCCCAAGCUCCUAUACAUUAUUUUUCUACAUCUCCGGAAGGCGGUACAAACUAGGUCAUAUCCCACGAGUCACGCAGGACGAUAGACGACACAGCUAGUACGAACUAGUGAUACUACCACUAACUCAGACCGAUCCGUAGUAGUUCUCGUAGAAGUCACCUCCAUAGCCUGGAAGCUCAACAUGAUCAUCCGGGAACAGACGAUCUCGCGGAGCUUCUGGACCAUAGGGGCUAGGAUGAGGUCUUGGACCAACAGACGGUGGCGUGCGGGGACCGCGAGGUGGGGUGAUGCCUCCUACAUCACGCCAACCCAUCACGUCUGGCAGAGCAGAUNNNNNNNNNNNNNNNNNNNNNNNNNNNNNNNNNNNNNNNNNNNNNNNNNNNNNNNNNNNNNNNNNNNNNNNNNNNNNNNNNNNNNNNNNNNNNNNNNNNNUCCUUCUCGUCAACCUCGAAAGUCAUAGCCUUAUGUUUUCGGUCAUAUUGACUCUUUUGACGAGAUUGGGCUGUUUUCAACUUUUCACGAACGAUGCGAACUUGCUCUUCUGCUUCCUGAAUCAUAUCCGGGCCAAAGAAUUGUCUUUCCCCAGUUUCUGACCAGUUAAGGGGUGUUCGACACCGUCGUCCAUAGAGAACUUCAAAAGGGGCUUUACCCAAGCUAGAUUGAUAGCUGUUGUUAUAAGCAAAUUCGGCAAAUGGAAGGCAUUUCUCCCACUCCAUUCUGAAUGAGAUAACAGAGGCUCGAAGCAUGUCUUCUAGGAUCUGGUUGACGCGUUCUACUUGACCACUUGAUGGAGGGUGAAAAGCGGUGCUAAAGGAAAGGCGGGUUCCCAUAGCAUUGUGGAAACUUUCCCAAAAUCGAGAGGUGAAAAGACUUCCUCGAUCCGAGUUAAUUUCCAAAGGAACACCAUGGAGAGACACUAUUCGGGAGAUGUAUAAGUCUGCCAAUUGACUAGCGGUUAUACUCUCACGAACAGGUAAGAAAUGGGCUACCUUGGAAAGACGAUCGACAACAACGAAGAUAGCAUUAUUCCCUCUCUUGGUCCUGGGAAAACCGGUAAUGAAGUCCAUACCAAUUUUAUCCCAUUUCCAUUCAGGAAUAGCUAGGGGUUGAAGGGUGCCAGCAGGCCGUUGAUGCUCUGCUUUUACACGACGACAGACGUCGCAAUUAGCAAUAUACUGAGCAAUUUCUCUCUUCAUCCUAGUCCACCAGAACCUCUGGCGUAGGUCCUGAUACAUCUUGGUACCACCGGGAUGAAUGGUGAGAGGAGAUUCAUGAGCUUCCUUAAGGAUCAAUCGUCUCAGGUUUCGCACCUUGGGAACCACUAGUCGAUUCCCGAAGUAUACGACCCCUUGAUCAUCAAUGGAGAAACAAUUCGCAACUCCUUUCUUGAUGUUUUUCUUGAUGCGGGAAAUUCCCGGAUCUACCUUCUGUGCUUUGAUGAUCUGAUCCGUAAGGGUAGGUUUCGCCACCAAGGUGGAAAGAAAACCUUGAGGAACAAUGUGAAGGUUAAGCUUCCGAAAUUCCUCAUGGAGAAGCGGUUGACUUUGUUGUAACAUCAGGUUGUUACAAUAAGAUUUACGACUUAGCGCAUCAGCCAUGACGUUGGCUUUCCCUGGGGUGUAAGUUAUUCCUAAGUCGAAAUCUGUGAUCAACUCGACCCAACGUCUUUGCCUGAGAUUCAAAUCCGGUUGGGUGAAGAUGUACUUCAGACUUUGGUGAUCAGUGAAUAUUUCGCAACGAUUACCGAGAAGGUAAUGUCGCCAGGUUUUAAGUGCAUAGACUACAGCUGCAAGCUCUAGAUCAUGAGUAGGAUAAUUCUCCUCAUGUGGGUGCAAUUGCCGUGAGGCGUAAGCAAUUACGUGUCGAUCUUGCAUGAGAAUACAGCCUAGUCCUUGUCGCGAGGCAUCGCAGUAGAUAACAAAGUCCUUAGAGAAGUCUGGCGGUACCAGUACGGGAGCAGAAGUCAGGCGUCUUUUCAGUUCCUGAAAGCUGUGCUCACAUUGUGGAGUCCAUUCGAACUUUUUAUCUUUCUUGAGGAGUUCGGUUAGAGGUUUUGCAACUUUGGAGAAGUUCUCGACAAAGCGACGGCAAUAGCUCGCUAAGCCCAGAAAACUCCGAACUUGCUUGACCGAUUCAGGUGGAGUCCAAUUAAGGACGGCUUGAACUCGCUCGGGGUUAACAGCAAUACCUUUACCAGAUAUUACAUGACCCAGAUAGGUCACUUCUGACAACCAAGAUUCACAUUUAGAAAACUUGGCAUAAAGGCGAUGCUCUCGAAGUUUCUUCAACACUAGCCUUAGAUGUUCGGCAUGUUCUUCCUCGUUCUUGGAGUAGAUGAGUAUAUCAUCGAGGUAAACCACGAUGAAUUUAUCCAAAUACUCCAUGAAGAUUGAGUUCAUUAACCGAGAAAAAGUGGCUGGAGCGUUGGUUAAACCGAAGGACAUGACGGUGUACUCGUAUUGGCCAUAACGAGUAACAAAGGCCGUUUUAGGAAUGUCCCCAUUCCUGAUUUUGAUUUGAUGGUAGCCCAACCUCAAAUCCAUUUUGGAGAAGAUUGAGGAUCCAGCGAGCUGAUCAUACAAGUCGUUGAUCCUGGGGAGCGGAUAUUUGUUCUUGAUUGUGACCAAAUUGACAGGUCGAUAAUCUACAACCAUCCGGUCCAUACCAUCCUUCUUCUUGACAAAGAGGACGGGGCAAGCCAACAGAGAUGAACUAGGUCGGAUGAAACCCUUUUUCAAGGACUCAUCGAGUUGUUUCUUAAGCUCGGCUAGUUCUAGUGGUGCCAUCUUAUAGGGUCUUCUAGCAAUCGGAACGGUUCCUGGAAUGAGGUCUAUUACGAACUCAACAUCCCUGUCAGGUGGAACACCUGGCAAUUCCUUUGGGAAGACAUCCGGGAAGUCACGGACUACCGGGACGUCCUCAAGGUCUGGCAAAGGGCUGGCGUUCAGAGAAUAUAACUGUCGCUUGGCUAUUCGGGUCAAGACAUUGACUAUCUUCCCCGAAGGAUGGGUGAGUUGAACAGUCCUAGAGAAGCAAUCAAUUUGGGCAUGAUGGGCUGACAUCCAGUCCAUACCCAAGAUGAUAUUAAUAUCUGAAGAUUUAAGGGCUAUCAAAGAUGCGAGAAAAACAAGUCUGUCGACUUGAAUUUCAUUUCCAUGGCUUACUCUAGAAGUUUGCCAUUUGGAUCCCGGAGUUUGAAUUACCAUAGAGGUGGGCAUCUCACAGAAUGUGGUGUUAUGCAGACGAGCAUAGCUCUCGGAUAUAAAUGAAUGAGAUGCUCCUGUAUCAAAAAGAACAGAUGCCGGGUGGCAAUUAACAAGGAGCGUACCGAGAACGACGUUGGGAUCCUCUUGAGCUUCUUCGGCAGAGAUAUAGUUGACAUGGCCACGUGUAGCGGUGGCCGGCUUGGCGUGGAACACUUUACCUAUCGGCUUGCCACGGCCAAUAACUUUAGCAGAUUGGUUGGGGUUGGUCUGGGGACACUCGCGUAUAUAGUGGUCCGAUUCCCCACACUUAAAACAAGUCACAGAACUGGUACGUGGAGGAGCACUGUUGGUUGGACCACCAUAGGGCUUGGCUGGUGCAGACUGUUGAACGGGGCGAGGCACCUGGAAGGAUGGCCUCGGUGUGAACCUGGGUGGCAGGGCAGUGUUGGGCACCCACACGCGGCGCUUCUGAGGACCAGCACCAGAUGAGGAACCCACGUCACGGCCAUGCUUGCGUGUUGCGUCAUAAUCGGUCUGACCAGUCUCAGCACUGAUGGCCUUGUUAACAAGCUUCUGAAAAGAUGUGCACUCAUGCAGACGGAGGUCGCGGUGAAGCUCAGGACUAAGUCCCUUACGGAACCUUGCUUGCUUCUUGGCAUCAGUAGAAACUUCCUCAGUGGCAUAUCGUGCGAGGUUACCGAACUCCCUGCUGUAAGCAUCCACAGAGAGUCGGCCUUGGGUGAAACUGCAAAAUUCCUCACGUUUACGGUCCAUGAGACCCUCCGGAAUGUGAUGUUCACGGAAAGCCUCACUGAAUUCAGCCCAAGUAGUGACAUGGCCCGCUGGGCGCAUAGCUCCAUAAUUCUCCCACCAUAGACUGGCGGGGCCUUCAAGAUGAUAUGCAGCAAAGGUGACCUUGUCAGCCUCAGCUACUAGCGCGGAACGCAGUUUGUGAGAGAUACUGCGAAGCCAGUCAUUAGCGUCGAGAGGCUCGACGGAGUGGUGGAACGUGGGUGGAUGUAACUUGAUGAAAUCACUGAGUGACACCACGUUAGUCCUCUGAUGGUGUGCUCUGUUCUGUUCAAUACGCUCCAACAAACGGUUGGUCUCUCGCUUGUUUCUCUCGGCUUCCAGCAUAACUUCGGCUAGGGAAGGAGGAUGAGGCAGAUUUGCAUUCCUGACUUCACUGCCUUUGGCCGGCUCUUGAGGAGCGGGGUUAUUGCGCGUGUUGACCAUCCUAGGUAAACAAGACAAUGAUUUAGUCAGAAUGAUAAGAUUCCGACAUAGGAUACAAAAUGUAAGGAAUAACUCGGAAUGCAAGAUGAUCAUCCGUAUGACAUGGUAGAUACAGAAACUGCUUCUUUAUUCCAUCGUCAUACACACCAUGCAAGGUUUAGUACAAGACCAAACAAGGUACUAUUACGGUGAAAAGAGGAUUACAUCUCAUCGAGGCAUCCCAAGCUCCUAUACAUUAUUUUUCUACAUCUCCGGAAGGCGGUACAAACUAGGUCAUAUCCCACGAGUCACGCAGGACGAUAGACGACACAGCUAGUACGAACUAGUGAUACUACCACUAACUCAGACCGAUCCGUAGUAGUUCUCGUAGAAGUCACCUCCAUAGCCUGGAAGCUCAACAUGAUCAUCCGGGAACAGACGAUCUCGCGGAGCUUCUGGACCAUAGGGGCUAGGAUGAGGUCUUGGACCAACAGACGGUGGCGUGCGGGGACCGCGAGGUGGGGUGAUGCCUCCUACAUCACGCCAACCCAUCACGUCUGGCAGAGCAGAUNNNNNNNNNNNNNNNNNNNNNNNNNNNNNNNNNNNNNNNNNNNNNNNNNNNNNNNNNNNNNNNNNNNNNNNNNNNNNNNNNNNNNNNNNNNNNNNNNNNNUGCGUUCCGGAUACUUCUAGAGUAUCCUGGUGGUCGAAGGUGAUUUGUUGUAACAACCAGUGGCGGGACUCCUCUGGGACGGGCUGUAUGGCGCGUAUCUCUAUAGGCGCCAAUCUGUAUUUCCCUUUUGUCACGUGAAGUGAGUUUACUGUUUUGACUUCUUGUGGGAACUUCUUUUGUUCUCCGGUGCUCUGCUUGUGGGGUUCGUCAUCGUCCUCGCUUGGCAUGUCGAUCCCCUUGUGUUCGGUGUUAAGUUUGUCGGAUUGCUUGAAGACCCAACAAUUUCUGUGGGUAUGCUUUGCAGGCUACCCGGGAGUACUAUGGAUUUGGCAUGUUUUGUCCAAGAUGUUUUUUAGGUUAGAUAGCUCAUCCCUGCUAUCCUUGACUGCCACGCUCUUCAGGCUGUUUCCCUUGGUUCGGCGCUGGUCCUUGCUACACCGUGGUUUCCCGUUUCCAUCCCUGACUUCGGAUGUACUUGGGUCGCUGGUGCCGCUUCUUGCCAACCAGCUAUCCUAUCUUGUGCAAAAGCGGGUCAUGAGGCUUGUUAAUGCAGCCAUUGUUCUUGGCUUUUCUUGGCCGAGGUGUCUGGCGAGCCAUUCGUCUCGAACGCUGUGUUUGAAAGCUGCUAAGGCUUCGGCGUCCGGAUAGUCGACUAUCUGGUUCUUUUUAGUAAGAAAUCUGUUCCAGAGUUUUCGGGCUGACUCUUCGGGUAGUUGAGUUAUAUGACUUAGAUCAUCUGCAUCCGGAGGUCGGACAUAGGUCCCUUGAAAAUUUGCCCGAAAAGCAUCCUCGAGCUCUUCCCAACUUCCGAUGGUGUUUUCGGGAAGGCUUUUAAGCCAAUGCCAGGCUGGCCCUUUGAGCUUGAGGGGUAAGUAUUUUAUGGCGUGGAGGUCAUCUCCUCUAGCCAUGUGUAUGUGGAGGAUAUAGUCCUCAAUCUAGACUCCAGGGUCUGUUGUUCCGUCGUAUGCCUCUGUGUUUACGGGCUUGAAUCCCGCUGGAAAUUCAUGGUCCAGCACCUCAUCAGUGAAACAUAGGGGGUGUGCGGCACCCCUAUAUUUGGGUGUGCCGUGAUGGUUGGAUACUUGUUGCGUUGCAUUGCUUACUAGAGCUUGCUUUCUUGGCCCAUAGAUAGAUCUGGCUAGGCCAUCUUUUUGAUGUGAAUCCUUGUGCGGAUCGCGUGCCGGCUUGAGUGCGGCGCCCCUUGCCGCUCUAUGUUGGCCAUGGGGUUGUUUAUCCGACCGGGUAUCUUUUUUAUUUUUUUUAUUGCGGGGGCUCUAAGGCCUCCUCAUCAAAUUCCGACAGUAAUUUCCGCUUCGGAUAGAUCUUUGAGUGACGACUGUCGCCGUACUUGUUUGCGGUGUUGAGUACUUUGCCCCAUCUAAUUCUGAGUGCAUCUUCCGCUGUUUUGAGCUUCCGCUUCUGCUUUUUCUGGCUACGUGCAGUGGCGACGAGCCUUUUGUGGAGGUUCUUCUGCUCCAGCAACUUGCCUGGCGUGAGAUCGUCCGGACUAUUAUCUUCACCGGGGACGGGUUGUUCGGUUUGUUUACCCAAAUUGCCCUGUUCGGACGGUUGCUCGAUGGCAUGUUCGUCGUCCGCCGGUUCGCCCUGCUCGUUGGCUGGGUCUCUGUCGAGGUGGGGUUUGGCGCGGCGCUUACGCCGCCACUUUGAUUGCUUUUCAAGGGAACGAUCCCUCGUUGCGUCCCUUUGUUCCUCGUCGUCGCUUCUUUUAGGUGUGUCCACCAUGUAUACAUCAUGGGAUGAGGUGGUUGUCCGGUGCCCUAUAGGCGCUGCUUCCUGUUCGUCUCCUGCAUCGUCGUCCAUACCGUCGAUGUCUUCGGAGUCAAAAUCGAGCAUGUCGGUUAAAUCAUCGACAGUGGCUACAAAAUGGGUGGUGGGUGGGCUUUGAACUUCUUCGUCAUCCGCAUCCCAUCCUUGCUGACCAUAGUCCGGCCAGGGCUCUCCUGAUAAAGAGAGAGACUUUAGUGAAUUCAGAAUGUCGCCCAAGGGCGAGUGCUGAAAGAUGUCCGCGGCGGCGAACUCCAUGAUCGGCGCCCAAUUGGGUUCGAUUGGCAGGGGCACAGAAGGUUCGGAGUCCGGAAAGGAGUCCGGCACCUUGGAGUCACUAGCUUCGCAAAGGACAAGGUUGGUGUUCGGCUCGAUCGCUGUAGAGAUUGCAGCCCCUGAGGCGGCGUCCAGACACCCGUCCUCGAUUGGCGCAGUCGGCUCCGAACUAAGGGUCGGAGCGGACACUGGGGCGGCCACUUGGGCACUGUUCGGCGGCAGAGCUAGAUCGUGCCCAUCGCGACAGUGCGGUGCGCUCGGCUGUGGGUCGAACCCGUCGAAGAUCAAGUCUCUGCGAAUGUCAGCCGUGUAGUUCAAACUUCCAAAUCUGACCUGAUGGCCAGGGGCAUAGCAUUCGAUCUGCUCCAGAUGGCCAAUCGAAUUGGCCCACAGUGCAAAGCCGCCGAAUACGAAGAUCUGUCCAGGGAGGAAAGUCUCACUCUGUACCACGUCGUUGUUGAUGAUCGGAGGAGCCAUCGGGCCUAAAGAUGACAACACAGAGGAACUCUCAAUGAAAGCACCAAUGUCGGUGUCAAAACCGGCGGAUCUCGGGUAGGGGGUCCCGAACUGUGUGUCUAGGCGGAUGGUAAGAGGAGAUGAGGGACACGAUGUUUUUACCUAGGUUCGGGCCCUCUCGAUGGAGGUAAAACCCUACUCCUGCUUGAUUAAUAUUGAUGAUAUGGUUAGUACGAGAGUAGAUCUACCACGAGAUCAGAGAGGCUAAACCCUAGAAGCUAGCCUAUGGUAUGAUUGUUGUUUGUCCUACGGACUAAAACCCUCUGGUUUAUAUAGACACUGGAGAGGGCUAGGGUUACACAGAGUCGGUUACAAUGGGAGGAGAUCUACAUAUCCGUAUCGCCAAGCUUGCCUUCCACGCCAAGGAAUGUCCCAUCCGGACACGGGACGAAGUCUUCAAUCUUGUAUCUUCAUAGUCCGGGAGUCCGGCCAAAUGUUAUAGUCCGGUCAUCCGGACACCCCCUAAUCCGGGACUCCCUCAGGCUCCCAUGAACCUCUCAAAGGGGAACAUAUUCAGUAGAAAUACGGGCCCUAGAAUGACAAUCUCGUCGACUAGAUGAACUAGGAUGUGCGUCAUGAUAUUGAAGAAGGAUGGUGGGAACACCAGCUCGAAACUGACAAGACAUUGCGCCACAUCACUCCUUAGCCUUGGUACGAUUUCUGGAUCGAUCACCUUCUGAGAGAUUGCACUGAGGAAUGCACAUAGCUUCACAAUGGCUAAUCGGACGUUUUCCGGUAGAAGCCCCUCAAUGCAACCGGAAGCAGUUGCGUCAUAAUCACAUGGCAGUCAUGAGACUUUAGGUUCUGGAACUUUUUCUCUGGCAUAUUUAUUAUUCCCUUUAUAUUCGACGAGAAGCCAGUCAGGACCUUCAUACUGAGUAGGCAUUCAAAGAAGAUUUCUUUCUCUUCUUUUGUAAGAGCGUAGCUGGCAGGAC